rnacentral:rRNA from 1 species
AGUGAACGCUGGCGGUAGGCCUAACACAUGCAAGUCGAACGGCAGCACAGUAAUUUCUUGCUCUUACGGGUUGCGAGUGGCGUACGUGUGAGGAAUACAUCGGAAUCUACUUUUUCUUGGGGGAUAACGUAGGGUAACUUACGCUAAUACCGCAUACGACCUACGGUUGUAAUCAUUGUUUCUUCUGACCUUUCGCGAUUGUUUGAUCCGAUGUCGUAUUAGCUAGUUGGCGUGGUAAAGGCCCACCAAGGCGACGAUCCGUAGAUGGUCUGAGAGGAUGAUCAGCCAAACUGGAAAGGAGACACGGACAAGACUACUACGGGAGGCAGAAGUGGGGAAUAUUGGACAAUGGGAGAAAGCAGGAUACAGAAAUACCGAGUGGGUGAAGAAGGACUUCGGGUUGUAAAGAAAUUUUGUUGGGAAAGAAAAGAAGAAGGUUAAAACCAAGAUGUUAUGACGGUACCAAAAGAAUAAGCAACGGCUAACUUCGUG